ensembl:lncRNA
GAAGGAAGGAAGGAAGGAAGGAAGGAAGGAAGGAAGGAAGGGAAAGAAAGAAAGAAAGAAAGAAAGAAAGAAAGAAAGAAAGAAAGAAAGAAAGAAAGAAAGAAAGAAAGAAAGAAAGAAAGAAAGAAAGAAAGAAAGAAAGAAAGAAAGAAAGAAAGAAAGAAAGAAAGAAAGAAAGAAAAGAGGAAGGGAAAGAAAGAAAGGGAAAGAAUGAAAGAGAAAAAGAGAAAGAAAGAAGGAAAACAAUAAAAAGAAAAGAAAAAAGGGAAAAGGAGAAUAAAAGGAAAAGAGUAAGAGAAAGAAAGAAUAAUAUUUGUGAUUCUAUGAUUUUGUGGAAAAGGGAGAAAAAAGAGAAGGAAGGAAGGGAGGUAGGAGGGAAGGAAGGAAGGAAGGAAAAGGAAGAAGAAAAGAAAAAAGAAAGAAAGAGAAAUAAGAGAAAAAAGAGAGAAAAAAAGAGAAAAAGAAAAAAAAAAGGAAAAUGUAGACAAGAAGAAAAGCAAAAAGGAAAGAAAAAAUAGGAUAAAAAAAGGAAACAAACAAACAAAAAGAAUAUUUCAGUCUUUCACUCCCAAAUCCAUUUGUAGGGCAGCGUAACCUAUUUUCCAGUAAAGAUCCCACAAACCACAUUUUGCUAUUAAAAGUCUGUUUCAUCCGCUGGGAUGCAAACACUCUGUGCAGGAAAACACCACAUUCCCCGGGCGAGGAGGGCCGGGUGCUGCGGGUGGGAGCUGUGCUCCAAGUUGUGCUGCGAACCGCACGGCACCGUCCGGCCACCGUGGGGAUGAAUGGGGCCGGCACCCCAUCGGGGUGUGAGUUUAGCAAAGUGAGAGCCCCGGCAAAUGCAGAAGGAAGGCCGUGCAGCCCUUACGACAGAAGUGUUUUCUUUCCACAGCUGGUGGGACCUCUGUGCGUAGGACUGGAGAGCCCCAAAGAGAAUCCAAUUUUCCAUCUGAUCUUGGAGACGAGGACAUGAGGGUGCCAAGGGAAGAACGUGCUCUUCCAACACCUCUGGGAGGAAGGGAUGCUCCACACAAAAGCAGAAGUUUCUUUCAGAGUUCAGUUAAGACCUGUUUGUGGGAGGCUGUAAGCACCAUCACUGAUCUACAAGUAAAUGAGAGGGCUCUAAUGCCUGCCAAGCAUCCUGGAUCAUUUGACUUUUAAGGCUUGAAAGGACCUGGGACUGCUGAUAGAGGAGGGCAAAAUUGUUUCAUUCUUUGAAUGCAAUCUGAAGCCUCUCCAAAGCAUUAAGUACCACCAUAGGGUUAAAAAAAACCCCAUCUCGGAAGUCAGUCUGCAGAUUUCUGCCAUGGAAGACAGAAAGCACGAGCUUCAGUGCUGCAGAGCCAGGUUUCACAUGCCAAGGCUGUAAGAGCAUUUUACAGCUCCAGUGAGCAAACAGCACUACACCUGAUGACACAGGAGGUGAUGUCUGUCUGGUUACUUACACGCCGAAGUCUGAUUCAGUCCUUCAGGGGAACUCAGGCUGGGAAAUAUGGAACGCUGGGGACUGAAAGGUAGCCAGGAGAAACAGGCAGUGCUUGUGCCAGAGUAGGCAGGGCAGGGCUCACAGCAGGGCUGCACAGAACACUGGAUUACUCUCUGUAAGCACUGACACCCAGGCAAUCCUCACUGCCUUCCGCCUGAAGUACACAGAUGAAUCUUGGGCAUCUGGAUAGUAAAUGACAGAGAUAAGGAAGACACAUAUAUAAAGGAACUAACAAACUUGUUACGCUACAGAGCUCAUCACGCUGAGAUGUGUCCAGGACUUCUCUGAAUGAAUCAUAGAAACAGAAUCAUCAUAGAACCAUUUGUGUUGGAAGAUACCCUUAAAGGUCAUCUGGUCCAACUCCCUGAAAUGAAGAGGGACACCUACAGCUCCAUCAGGUGCUCAGAGCCAUGUCCAGCCUGACCUUGGGUGUCUCCAGGGAUGGGGCAUCCACCACCUCUCUGGGCAACCUGUGCCAAUGCUUCAGCACAUUUAUUGUAAAAAACUCCUUUCUUUUAUGCAGUCUUAGUCUCCCCUCUUUUAGUCUGCAACCAUUUCUCCUUGUCCUAUCACAGAGACCCUGCUGAAAAGUCUGUCCCUUUCCUUCUUACAGCCCCUUUAGAUACUGAAAGGCCGCUAUCAGGUCUCCCCAGAGACGUCUCCAGGAAAUUUUAUUUUUAUUAAAACAACUUUCUCUAUAUAUUAUUUGAUUCUGCAGUGUGACAGUGCCCAAUCCAUGGCAGAACUCAGGCUGUAAGGUGUUUGCUGUGGGGUAAUGAUAUCAAGCUGGCCUACGGGCAGACAACCUCAUGGAGAGCUGCACAUUGCACAGGAGUUGCAAGCUACAGACUGGAACAACAAAGAACUGCAAAGCACACCUGCCCAUGGAUUAUGGAAGUGAUUUCAUGCUACCUGUCCAGAACAAAUAAAGUUGUAGUGUGCAAAGGAAGGGAAGACUGGAAGUGGGAAGCCUACAAAUACAGUUUUACUUCCAAUUUCACCUCCCAUAAGGCAUUUGCCUCUACGAACAAUUUCCUUUGAAGCCAAAGUGGUAAUUCCGUUGAAUCCAACAAGGGCUGACUUGAGCCCCAUCAACUUGAGAACAGGCAUUCUCACCCAUGGUAACGGUGCUCUGUCUCUACUGGAAAGCGGAACAUAAAUGUUUGCUAUCUCCAGGUUCCUUGACCUGACCAGAUGGGACCAUGCAGAGUAAAAGCAAAUUCUUCCCCUUCUUGAGGAAGGGAAGCUGUGUGGAAGUGAAAUAUCUGCUUGCUUUGGACUUUUCACUAAAGGACGAUGUAAAUGGGGGCACCUCAUAAAAUGCAAAUAUAACUUCUGAGUAAGGGGAAGAAGGGUUUGACUGUAUAGUCUUUCUGGAAACAAUUCCGGCAGAGGAUUAGGAGCUAUGGAUGGUAUUUCCAUAAGCCCUUGUUUUUGGCCUGACGAUGACUCCCAGAGAAGCUGAUGGUAAAUCUGCCAUUGUAUCCAAGAGGAACAGACUUGAGACAGCACUGAGCAAACUGAAGAUCCCAGCCUUUGACUCAGAAGUGUAAAUAUUUUGCCUUUAUAAGCAGAGAUUAGUAAAUUCAGGGACGUUAUUCAAAAUGCAAUUUGGUAGCUGCUUCGCUGAGCACUGUCCAUACACACUGAGCAUACUUAUCUCCCACGGCUUUAAGACGGCUCCGUGUUGUUAAGGAACAAGGAAAUAAAUCACAAAAGCGACAGCGAUCGGUGUCGUGGCGGAUAAUCUCUGCACAAAGGGGACAAACGGGUCACAGACGCAUUAUUCCCUUUGCGCCCCUGGGGAGGGCCCCCCAGGAAGGGUGCGUGGCUGUUGGGGUGGGUGCUAGGAGGUGCAGGCCCUGCUCCUGGCACAGGGGCCCGCUGCUGCCUGAGAGCUGCUAGCUCUGGCCUUGCGUGUUGCCCGUGUGCUGUUUCCAAAGCUGUUGGAAACCAGAGUUGGGGAGGAACAUAAAUCCAUGUUCGUGUCCGAAGUCAGAAAUAUUACUUCGUACGGAUGGAGUUUAAUCCACUCAGUAGAAAAGUCCCUGACUGAAAACGUAUCCAAUAAAGAUGUUCAGAGCUGCUUAACUGAGUCCGAGAGGGGAUUUUUGCAGUUUUUUAUUCAAUGUAUGUAGUGAGGAAUAAUGAUCAGGAGAUGAGUGCAACCUAUCUUAGCUUGUAGCUG